AUUGAACGCUGGCGGCAUGCCUUACACAUGCAAGUCGAACGGCAGCGCGUCCUGGAUGGCGGCGAGUGGCGAACGGGUGGAGUAAAGACAUCGGAACGUGCCCGGUAGUGCGGGAUAGCUCGGCGAAAGCCGGAUUAAUACCGCAUGAGAUCUGCGGAUGAAAGCAGGGGACCCGAAAGGGCCUUGCGCUACUGGAGCGGCCGAUGUCAGAUUAGGUAGUUGGUGAGGUAAAGGCUCACCAAGCCUGCGAUCUGUAGCUGGUCUGAGAGGAUGAUCAGCCACGUCGGGACUGAGACACGGCCCGAACUCCUACGGGAGGCAGCAGUGGGGAAUUUUGGACAAUGGGCGCAAGCCUGAUCCAGCCAUGCCGCGUGCAGGAUGAAGGCCUUGGUUGUAAACUGCUUUUGUACGGAACGAAAAGGCUCUUUCUAAUAAAGGGAGUUGA
rnacentral:rRNA from 1 species